UGGGGAAUAUUGCACAAUGGGCGCAAGCCUGAUGCAGCCAUGCCGCGUGUAUGAAGAAGGCCUUCGGGUUGUAAAGUACUUUCAGCGAGGAGGAAGGCGGUAAGGUUAAUAACCUUAUCGAUUGACGUUACUCGCAGAAGAAGCACCGGCUAACUCCGUGCCAGCAGCCGCGGUAAUACGGAGGGUGCAAGCGUUGAUCGGAAUUACUGGGCGUAAAGCGCACGCAGGCGGUCUGUCAAGUCGGAUGUGAAAUCCCCGGGCUCAACCUGGGAACUGCAUUCGAAACUGGCAGGCUAGAGUCUUGUAGAGGGGGGUAGAAUUCCAGGUGUAGCGGUGAAAUGCGUAGAGAUCUGGAGGAAUACCGGUGGCGAAGGCGGCCCCCUGGACAAAGACUGACGCUCAGGUGCGAAAGCGUGGGGAGCAAACA
rnacentral:rRNA from 1 species